ensembl:lncRNA
GAGAAAAAACAAAUGUGCUGAAAGAUGCACAAUACUCAAUCUUCCAGCCUAGGAUGAUGUCAUUAUGUACAUUAACAAUAAUUUGGGACAAAUAUAAUGUGAUUUUAUGGAAAACUAUGUGAGUGGAGUGGCAGGAUUUUGAACAGUGUCCUGAGUCGCCGCGGGCAGUCUUUAACUUUAACUUAAUGUUAUUAAACUGAAUGUACAAAGCAAACCGUUAGCUGAAAAAAUAAAUAAAUAAAUCCCUUUAAGGCAGGGGUGUAAAACUCAAUUCCUGGAGGCCCGGAUCCCUGCAGAGUUUUGUUCCAAACCUGCUCCAACACACAUUCAUGUAGUUUUAAAAUAAACCUGAAAUACUUGAUCAGGUGUGUUUAAUUAGGGUUGAAUCUAAACUCUGCAGGGCUCCGGCCCUCCAGGAAUUGUGCUUGACAUGCCUGCUUUAAGGCAAGUCACUCAGCGGACAUAUUUGAAAGGCCUCUCGGGCAUGCAAGGGCAGCUAAUAUCUCUUCAGAAUGGGAAACAUCAAAUUCUCCAACACUUACAAUUAAAAUUCCUAUUUGAAAUUUACGCCUGUUGUGAUUGAAAUGAAAUGAAAAGUGUUUAUUGCGACAUCAAAUUUUGAUCUGCUCAUGUUGUUUUUAUGAACGCAGUGGCCAAUCAGCAGCGUUCAGAUGAGUCCUCGCUGAAACGCCGGUGUUUUGUUCAGCGUGUGCGCUCGCUGACUUCUCUCAUUAUAAACAACAAUGUGCAGAUACACAUUCAAGUAAGAGUAUAAUGGGAUUCUUGUCUAAUUUGGUGGCAGUUCUAGAGUUUAUGUUUGAUGUUAGAUUGAUGUUUUGCUCUGAAGAAAGCAUGCUUAAGUUAACUGGCCCCUGCCAUGUUAUAAAUAAAUACAUCUAGGGCUAUUUAAUAAAGUGCCUCUGCUGUUUCUUUUAGAUUUAAGUUGUUAAAGCUCCACAUCUUCUUCAUGACAGGAACAAGAAAAGCUUCGAUGAUGCAGGUAAG